rnacentral:rRNA from 1 species
UGGGGAAUAUUGGACAAUGGGCGGAAGCCUGAUCCAGCCAUGCCGCGUGUGUGAAGAAGGCCUUUUGGUUGUAAAGCACUUUAAGCGAGGAGGAGGCUACUUGGAUUAAUACUCUAGGAUAGUGGACGUUACUCGCAGAAUAAGCACCGGCUAACUCUGUGCCAGCAGCCGCGGUAAUACAGAGGGUGCGAGCGUUAAUCGGAUUUACUGGGCGUAAAGCGUGCGUAGGCGGCUUCUUAAGUCGGAUGUGAAAUCCCUGAGCUUAACUUAGGAAUUGCAUUCGAUACUGGGAAGCUAGAGUAUGGGAGAGGAUGGUAGAAUUCCAGGUGUAGCGGUGAAAUGCGUAGAGAUCUGGAGGAAUACCGAUGGCGAAGGCAGCCAUCUGGCCUACUACUGACGCUGAGGUACGAAAGCAUGGGGAGCAAACAGG